rnacentral:rRNA from 1 species
GCGACCCCAGGUCAGGCCGGUUUACCCA